rnacentral:rRNA from 1 species
CCUACGGGAGGCAGCAGUGGGGAAUAUUGGGCAAUGGGCGCAAGCCUGACCCAGCAACGCCGCGUGAAGGAAGAAGGCCCUCGGGUUGUAAACCUCUUUUAACAGGGACGAAGAAAGUGACGUUACUCCUUGAAUAAGCCACGGCUAACUACGUGCCAGCAGCCGCGGUAAUACGUAGGUCGCAAGCGUUAUCCGGAUUUACUGGGUGUAAAGGGCGUGUAGGCGGGAGGGCAAGUCAGACGUGAAAUUCCAGGGCUCAACCCUGGAACUGCGGUUGACACUGGUCUUCUUGAGUGAUGGAGAGGCAGGCGGAAUUCCGGGUGUAGCGGUGAAAUGCGUAGAUAUACGGAAGAACACCGAUGGCGAAGGCAGCCUGCUGGACCUUAACUGACGCUGAGGCGCGAAAGCGUGGGGAGCAAACAGGAUUAGAUACCCGAGUAGUC